rnacentral:rRNA from 1 species
CAGUCGCCGCGGGAAUACGAAGGGUGCAAGCGUUAAUCGGAAUUACUGGGCGUAAAGCGUGCGUAGGCGGUUUGUUAAGUCUGCUGUGAAAUCCCCGGGCUCAACCUGGGAAUGGCAGUGGAUACUGGCAAGCUAGAGUGUGUCAGAGGAUGGUGGAAUUCCCGGUGUAGCGGUGAAAUGCGUAGAGAUCGGGAGGAACAUCAGUGGCGAAGGCGGCUCACUGGACAAUAACUGACGCUGAUGCACGAAAGCUAGGGGAGCAAACAGGAUUAGAUACCCGAGUAGUCCCUGUCUCUUAUAC